AGGAACCAAUAGCUCUUUAGAUAUUUCUCUAGUAGGUUUCUCAUUUUGAGAAGCCCUC
ensembl:snRNA U7 U7 small nuclear RNA